GGGAGGGGCGCAAGCGUUGUUCGGAAUCAUUGGGCGUAAAGCGCGUGUAGGCGGCUUGGGCAAGUCGGGGUGUGAAAGCCCGGGGCUCAACCCCGGAAUUGCACUCGAUACUGCCUAGCUAGAGUCCCGGAGAGGGUGGCGGAAUUCCCGGUGUAGAGGUGAAAUUCGUAGAUAUCGGGAGGAACACCAGCGGCGAAGGCGGCCACCUGGACGGUGACUGACGCUGAGACGCGAAAGCGUGGGGAGCAAACAGGAUUAGAUACCCUGGUAGUCCACGCCGUAAACGUUGGGUGCUAGGCGCUGCGGGUAUUGACCCCUGCAGUGCCGACGUUAACGCAUUAAGCACCCCGCCUGGGGAGUACGGUCGCAAAGAUUA
rnacentral:rRNA from 1 species